rnacentral:rRNA from 1 species
CCUACGGGAUGCACCAGUGGGGAAUAUUGCACAAUGGGCGCAAGCCUGAUGCAGCCAUGCCGCGUGUAUGAAGAAGGCCUUCGGGUUGUAAAGUACUUUCAGCGGGGAGGAAGGCGAUAAGGUUAAUAACCUUGUCGAUUGACGUUACCCGCAGAAGAAGCACCGGCUAACUCCGUGCCAGCAGCCGCGGUAAUACGGAGGGUGCAAGCGUUAAUCGGAAUUACUGGGCGUAAAGCGCACGCAGGCGGUCUGUCAAGUCGGAUGUGAAAUCCCCGGGCUCAACCUGGGAACUGCAUUCGAAACUGGCAGGCUAGAGUCUUGUAGAGGGGGGUAGAAUUCCAGGUGUAGCGGUGAAAUGCGUAGAGAUGUGGAGGAACACCAGUGGCGAAGGCGGCUCUCUGGUCUGUAACUGACGCUGAGGCGCGAAAGCGUGGGGAGCAAACAGGAUUAGAUACCCGUGUAGUC